rnacentral:sRNA from 1 species
UGAACAGUUCCCUCCCCUUACCCUUAGAC